UGGAACCUGCGGAAGGAUCAUUACCGAGAGAGGAAGUKUAACUCGCUUCCCGGGUGCCUCGGCCCCGACUCUUCACCCUUUGUCGAUCAAUCCCGUUGCUUUGGUGGGCCUCGGGCAUCGUCCCGCACGGGUUYCGUGCUCCACCACCCGUGAGCGCCCGCCGGAGGCCCGUCUUCAUCCAGUCUGAUACGCGGUGUCCGAGCGGAAAACGAGAAAAUGGCUCAAAACUUUCAACAACGGAUCUCUUGGUUCCAGCAUCGAUGAAGAACGCAGCGAAAUGCGAUAAGUAAUGUGAAUUGCAGAAUUCAGUGAAUCAUCGAAUCUUUGAACGCACAUUGCGCCCUUUGGCAUUCCGGAGGGCAUGCCUGUUCGAGCGUCAUUGUACCCUUCAAGCUCGGCUUGGUUUUGGGAUUCGCCUCCRCGGCGAUGCCGAAAAGCAUUGGCGGCUCGACGUGGACCCUCGGGCGUAGUARUYCUCGCUCGGAGGACGCACGUGGGCCAGCCCCAGGUCGCCAUCCACGAUUGACCUCGGAUCAGGCAGGGAUACCCGCUGAACUUAAGCAUAAAA
rnacentral:rRNA from 1 species